UGUACAUAGUAAGUUCUAAGCAGCACAAAUUCUUAUUUGACACAAAGAUGUACAAGGCUUCGAUUACUGUGUUUUUGGUAGUUGCUUUCCUGAUCGUUUCUUGUGAUGUGGCGACUAGCCGAAAGACGUAAAAAUUGUGGAAAUAUGGAACAUACAAAUGCAUUUGGAGGUUGUGCUUGUGUGUUUCCUUGUUUGUGUGUUAAGCAUAAAUUCUGCAUAUGCCGUCCACUGAACAAAUACUCGAUCGACCAUGAAGAUAGUGGUUCAGGUGGAAAGCUUUAACCUUGCAAGAAUCUUCAUAUGGUUGUAUUGAAUAUGUGGAGUUUCUACAGGUGAAUCUAAAAAUGUCUCUAUAUGGUUGAUGGAUACUAUGUAUGUGAUUAUGUUUACUUGCUGAAAUAAACUGCAAUAAAGUUAGUCGGUUGCAUCAUGAUCUGAAA